GACGUAGGAGGCGAGCGUUGUCCGGAUUCAUUGGGCGUAAAGAGCGCGCAGGCGGCUUGGUAAGUCGGAUGUGAAAAUCCGAGGCUCAACCUCGGACGUGCAUCCGAUACUGCUCGGCUAGAGGUAGGUAGGGGAGAUCGGAAUUCCUGGUGUAGCGGUGAAAUGCGCAGAUAUCAGGAGGAACACCGGUGGCGAAGGCGGAUCUCUGGGCCUUACCCUGACGCUCAGGCGCGAAAGCUAGGGGGAGCGAACUGG
rnacentral:rRNA from 1 species